rnacentral:misc_RNA from 1 species
GAUGAAGAACGCAGCGAAAUGCGAUACGUAAUGUGAAUUGCAGAAUUCAGUGAAUCAUCGAAUCUUUGAACGCAUAUUGCGCUCUCUGGUAUUCCGGAGAGCAUGCUUGUUUGAGUAUCAGUAAACACCUCAACUCCCUUUCUUCUUGAAAUGGAGCUGGACUUGAGUGAUCCCAACGCUUUAUUCAUAAAGUGGCGGGUUACUUGAAAUGCAGGUGCAGCUGGACUUUUCUCUGAGCUAUAAGCAUAUCUAUUUAGUCUGCCUCAAAACAGAUUAUUACCUUUGCUGCAGCUAACAUAAAGGAGAUUAGUUCUUGUGCUGACUGAUGCAGGAUUCACAAAGACCGCUUCGGCUGUCUUUGUAAACUCGAUCUCAAAUCAAGUAAGACUACCCGCUGAACUUAAGCAUAUCAAUAAGCGGAGGA